rnacentral:rRNA from 1 species
AGCGAACGCUGGCGGCAGGCCUAACACAUGCAAGUCGAACGAAGUCUUCGGACUUAGUGGCGGACGGGUGAGUAACACGUGGGAACGUGCCUUUAGGUUCGGAAUAACUCAGGGAAACUUGUGCUAAUACCGAAUGUGCCCUUCGGGGGAAAGAUUUAUCGCCUUUAGAGCGGCCCGCGUCUGAUUAGCUUGUUGGUGGGGUAAUGGCCCACCAAGGCGACGAUCAGUAGCUGGUCUGAGAGGAUGACCAGCCACAUUGGGACUGAGACACGGCCCAAACUCCUACAGGAGGCAGCAGUGGGGAAUCUUGCGCAAUGGGCGAAAGCCUGACGCAGCCAUGCCGCGUGGAUGAUGAAGGUCUUAGGAUUGUAAAAUCCUUUCACCGGUGAAGAUAAUGACUGUAGCCGGAGAAGAAGCCCCGGCUAACUUCGUGCCAGCAGCCGCCGCGGUAA